rnacentral:rRNA from 1 species
GAGUUUGAUCCUGGCUCAGGAUGAACGCUGGCGGCGUGCUUAACACAUGCAAGUCGAACGGGAAUUACUUUAUUGAAACUUCGGUCGAUUUAAUUUAAUUCUAGUGGCGGACGGGUGAGUAACGCGUGGGUAACCUGCCUUAUACAGGGGGAUAACAUUCUGAAAAGAAUGCUAAUACCGCAUGACAUAUCGGAACCACAUGGUUUUGAUAUCAAAGAUUUUAUCGCUUGAAGAUGGACUCGCGUCCGAUUAGUCAGUUGGUGAGGUAACGGCUCACCAAGACCGCGAUCGGUAGCCGGACUGAGAGGUUGAACGGCCACAUUGGGACUGAGACACGGCCCAGACUCCUACGGGAGGCAGCAGUGGGGAAUAUUGCACAAUGGGGGAAACCCUGAUGCAGCAACGCCGCGUGAAGGAAGACGGUUUUCGGAUUGUAAACUCCUGUCGUUAGGGACGAUAAUGACGGUACCUAACAAGAAAGCACCGGCUAACUACGUGCCAGCAGCCGCGGUAAUUC